rnacentral:pre_miRNA from 1 species
UCUUAUGGAUGAGCAAAGAAAGUGGUUUCUUGAGAUGGAAUCUACUCCUAGUGAAGAUGUUGUGAA